AUGAGUGUAAUAAGCUGGAACUGUCGAGGGCUUGGGAACCCUCAAACAGUUCGUGAGCUUCGCAAGAUUGUGAAGCAAGAAGGACCCGCCCUUCUGUUCUUAAUGGAAACCAAGAUAAAGGGCAAAAGAGUGGAAGAUUUAAAGUUUUCUUUAGGUUUUUCCGGUUGUUUUGCUGCUGAUAGCAACGGUCUUAGUGGUGGUGUUGGCCUUUUCUGCUCCAAAGAUGUUGAUGUCAAGCUUGAAAAUUACAGCCCGUCACACAUUGAUGUUUAUGUGAAACAUGGCAAUAAAGCUUGGCGUUUUACUGGUUUCUACGGAGAGCCAUGA
rnacentral:rRNA from 1 species